GAUGAACGCUGGCGGCGUGCUUAACACAUGCAAGUCGAGCGAGAAGUUUUGAAAAGAUUCUUCGGAUGAAAUUUAAAAUGGAAAGCGGCGGACGGGUGAGUAACGCGUAGGCAACCUGCCCCAUACAAAGGGAUAGCAUUUGGAAACGAAUAUUAAUACCUUAUGAAACUUAACUAGUGCAUGCUAGGUAGGUCAAAGAUUUAUCGGUAUGGGGUGGGCCUGCGUCUGAUUAGCUAGUUGGUGAGGUAACGGCUCACCAAGGCGACGAUCAGUAGCCGACCUGAGAGGGUGAACGGCCACAUUGGAACUGAGACACGGUCCAAACUCCUACGGGAGGCAGCAGUGGGGAAUAUUGCACAAUGGGGGAAACCCUGAUGCAGCAACGCCGCGUGAACGAUGAAGGCCUUUGGGUCGUAAAGUUCUGUUCUAGGUGAUGAAAACUGACAGUAACCUAGGAGAAAGCCCCGGCUAACUCCGUG
rnacentral:rRNA from 1 species